rnacentral:rRNA from 1 species
UACAGAGGUCUCAAGCGUUGUUCGGAUUCAUUGGGCGUAAAGGGUGCGUAGGUGGCGUGGUAAGUCGGGUGUGAAAUUUCGGAGCUUAACUCCGAAACUGCAUUUGAUACUGCCGUGCUUGAGGACUGGAGAGGAGACUGGAAUUUACGGUGUAGCAGUGAAAUGCGUAGAGAUCGUAAGGAAGACCAGUGGCGAAGGCGGGUCUCUGGACAGUUCCUGACACUGAGGCACGAAGGCCAGGGGAGCAAACGGG